UCACUCUCACCGUGUCCGCCACCAGCCUUCCUCCUCGGAGCUUCUUCGGAAAGAACGGGCAUAUCGCCUGAAGAAGAACGGAAAAUGUUGCCGUGUAGUGAGAAGUUGCUGCCACUCUUCACACAUUAUCAUCACCCGCCCCCUUAUUUGCGCUCAACUCCUCAUGAAGACACGGUAUAUCCACAGGGACCGCUUACAACAUUCUCCCUUUGCGCAAAAGUGGACGAAGGGAAAAAGUCAAUAAUACGCGGUGGAACAGUGAGCCUCGUUAAUGCGCAAGCCUUUUGAAAUUCUCCAUGUACGCUGUUUUAGCCAGAGCGACCCCAUGUGCUCGUUAUUAAUGAAUUAUCCAUCUGGCCGCCGUCGACUAUCAUAUUGUACGUGUUGCGCUGAAGCGCCACCGACUGGUCCUUUGACCACAUGCGGAAUAAAUUGUGUCUGGGACCAGAAUCAGAAACUUAUACUACGGCGAAGGCUUGGCUUAUGAAUAUUAAAUGAGCAACGGCUGACGUUGCUUAGUAACCCUCCAGGAGUGUCCAUUCACGAACCCUAAUUAUGUUUUAAUCUUUGGACACUCUUUGGUUAAACCGCUUGCUGGUUUGAUAUAGCGGGUUAGACGUCACUCAAGCUAAUUAAUAUGCAUGAGCCGACGCUUCGUCGUAGUAGGAUGUGUAUAUCCGCGCCCGGGACCUCCCAAAAUUGGAUCGUGGAUGUGAUCGCAUAGCCUGGCUAUUUCAAGAUCCUCUGUAGAACCGAUGAAAAACGCACUCGACCACCUGUCGUAGAAAAAAAAAAGUCAUUUAUGUUUUAUCCAAACGCUUAGUGGCUUUUUAAAAUAAAUACGUUUUUGCUCAGUGCCUUUGCUUAAUAUGUAAUUAGAAUAAUCCGUUGUUAUCACAUAAAUGUUGUCUCUGAAGUCUGUUAAGCGAUGUAAAUGUAACCUGUGUGUGACAUUUAAAUUAAGACAUUUUUUAUAGGUCACUUUUGGGGUGAAACAGUCUUAUCAUUAGGCAACAGACCGUAAAUGUAUGCAUUUUUCUUCCGUUAUUUGAGAUUCACGUUCUGAAGGGUCUCAUUGCAGGUGUGGAGCGGCCCCCUGUGGUGACACAUGGAUGUAGAUCGGUCGUAAACUCCGGUAUUAUUCCUCUUUUUCCACAAAUGUAAACGUUAUAAUAGCAAACGUAAACGUUACGGGCCUAGUACGAAGAAAAAAAGAACAUAAAAACGUAUUCAAAAUAUUUUAAGAGCUCAUUUAAAUACCAAUAUUGUGUUUGUAAAUGUUUUUUUUCCCGCGUUCUCCGUUGUUGACGUUUUCCCCACAUUAUGUUGAAAGAGAUCUGUGGUUUUCUAUAGAGGUUGAUUUAAUUCAUUGAAAUAGUUAGUCACUGGAAGACACGCCCUUCGCGGUGUCGUCAUCACGGCUCGAGACGGAGGGUGAGGGAUUUCAUACGGUCACACGGCCCGGUAUAUUUUCGCAAAAUAUUCAGCUGUACGAAUGAUCAUCCACACUGCAUUCGUUAUUCAGCUAACAUCGGCGAUCCUCUGCGGGGGUGGGGUGCGUGAGGGCCGCUGUCAGGAUCCCACCCUGUGGGGCAGCCUCACACUGAAUGGUGUCUCCCACAAUGAAGGCUUUGGUGGAUGCAGUCUGGGUGGUGUGGAGCAUCGGGGCCUCAGUCUAUGACUACAUCCACACCAACGCCAUGGAAGAACGCAUUCACUCACUGGAGAGCGCUAUAACCGUCCACCAGUGUGUCAUUGGACUGCUCUCUGCUGGACUUGUGGCCCUCUUCACCUACAUUCUUCUGAGGAAGCACUGACCCAGGAUUUCAGCCAUUUUUUGUAUGCAAGACUACAUGCCAAGCUUUGUUCAGUUCAUUUUAAAGGGAUUUUAAGAAGUCUGACUUUUACCUAAUUGAUUAUUUGCUCAACUUUCUUAGUUUCCGCUUCUGUUAAAAUGUCCCUACUGUAUUAGCUGUGUAAAGCAAAAUAACAGUAUCUCUAAAUUAAAUAUAGUCUUCCGCCAUGUCUCAUAAUGAACUUUUAAGCUCAUUGAUGGCUACCACAGAGGAAAGAUUCAGAGAAGUUACCUGUUCUCAGUUCUUUGCACAAAGCUUGGUGACAGCUGAACAAACAAAACGCAGAAUAACUACUGGAUCAUCAGGCUUUUCAGCCUGUUUGCUGCUAUCAUCAGUGUGUCUCGGUUUCAUUUAACUUGACAAUGACUAAGCAUAAUGCAACUUAUUUAUGUUAUCCUAUUACAGUUCAGCUUAUUUCGUAACAUUAUGGUUAAUGAGAGGCAUCAGUGUCAUCAAUUAAAUGAUUGAUUGCACAGCUUGAUAGAGAACUUAAAGUGUCCUUAAUCACAAGGUAUCUCAUGUAGUCAACUUCAUAAAGUUAUCAGUGUAUUAACUACUACAUGUGAAGUGGGUUUUCAACAUUGAUUUCAUCUGAAAGCUCAUCGGUUAAUGCACUAUUGUUUUAUAGGUUCUAAUUCUUACUUUUACCAUGUUUUUUUCCUUGAGGCAAAAACUUACUCAUGUUGCACAUGUUCUGUCAUAGCAAAGUGAAUGUUUAGCUUUGUAACGCAAAAAGAAGUCAGAGUAUUUUGACUUUGAAUUGAUGAUACCUACUAAAGCAUUUCUCUACUGUA